AGCAGCCGCGGUAAUUCCAGCUCCAAUAGCGUAUAUUAAAGUUGUUGCAGUUAAAAAGCUCGUAGUUGAAUUUCGGGGUUAGUAGGUUGGUCAUGCCUCUGGUAUGUACUGGUCUCACUGAUUCCUCCUUCCUGAUGAUCCGUAAUGCCAUUAAUUUGGUGUUGCGGGGAAUUUGGACUGUUACUUUGAAAAAAUUAGAGUGUUUAAAGCAAGCUAACGCUUGAAUACAUUAGCAUGGAAUAAUGAAAUAGGACGUUCGAUCCUAUUUUGUUGGUUUCUAGGAUUGACGUAAUGAUUAAUAGGGAUAGUUGGGGGCAUUAGUAUUCAAUUGUCAGAGGUGAAAUUCUUGGAUUUAUUGAAGACUAACUACUGCGAAAGCAUUUGCCAAGGAUGUUUUCAUUAAUCAAGAACGAAAGUUAGGGGAUCGAAGACGAUCAGAUACCGUCGUAGUCUUAACCAUAAACUAUGCCGACUAGGGAUCGGAUGAUGUUAAUUUUUUAAUGACUCA
rnacentral:rRNA from 1 species